GGGCGGUUAUACAAGUAGGAUGUGAAAGCCCGGGGCUCAACCUCAGAACUGCAUUCUAAACUGUGUGACUAGAGUAUUGCAGGGGGAGACGGAAUUUCAGGUGUAGCGGUGGAAUGCGUAGAUAUCUGAAAGAACACCAAAGGCGAAGGCAGUCUCCUGGGCAAAUACUGACGCUCAUAUGCGAAAGCGUGGGUAGCAAACA
rnacentral:rRNA from 1 species